GAAAUGCGAUAAGUAGUGUGAAUUGCAGAAUUCAGUGAAUCAUCGAAUCUUUGAACGCACAUUGCGCCCUUUGGUAUUCCUUAGGGCAUGCCUGUUCGAGCGUCAUCUAAACCUUCAAGCCCUGCUUGGUGUUGGGUGCCUGUCCCGCCUCCGCGCGCGGACUCACCUCAAAUCCAUUGGCGGCCCCCGCGUCGGCCACGAGCGCAGCAGAAACGCGAACUCGUGAGCCCGUCCGGGCGGCUCCCAGAAGCUACACCCACCCAGUUUGACCUCGGAUCAGGUAGGGAUACUCGCUGAACUUAAGC
rnacentral:misc_RNA from 1 species